rnacentral:rRNA from 1 species
UGGGGAAUUUUGGACAAUGGGCGAAAGCCUGAUCCAGCAAUGCCGCGUGUGUGAAGAAGGCCUUCGGGUUGUAAAGCACUUUUGUCCGGAAAGAAAUCCUCUGGGUUAAUACCUCGGGGGGAUGACGGUACCGGAAGAAUAAGCACCGGCUAACUACGUGCCAGCAGCCGCGGUAAUACGUAGGGUGCAAGCGUUAAUCGGAAUUACUGGGCGUAAAGCGUGCGCAGGCGGUUUUGUAAGACGGAUGUGAGAUCCCCGGGCUUAACCUGGGAACUGCAUUCGUGACUGCAAGGCUAGAGUAUGGCAGAGGGGGGUAGAAUUCCACGUGUAGCAGUGAAAUGCGUAGAGAUGUGGAGGAAUACCGAUGGCGAAGGCAGCCCCCUGGGCCAAUACUGACGCUCAUGCACGAAAGCGUGGGGAGCAAACAGGAUUAGAUACCCUGGUAGUCCACGCCCUAAACGAUGUCAACUAGUUGUUGGGGAUUCAUUUCCUUAGUAACGUAGCUAACGCGUGAAGUUGACCGCCUGGGGAGUACGGUCGCAAGAUUAAAACUUAAAGGAAUUGACGGGGUCAUAGCUGUUUCCU